CCCCCACAGUUACCCAAAUCCACAGUUGCUCAAGUCUGUUAUGUAUAAUGGCACAAUAAUUGCAUGCCAUCUAUGCACAUUAGCCAGUGUACUUGGAAUUAUCUCAAGAUCAACUUGUGACACUCCACACAAUGUAAAUACCACAAAGAGGAAAGAGAGGUAAGAUGGAAGUAUUGCAACUGGAAGUGGUCAUUGAAAUCAUUCUGUCCUACGCAGAGCAUGGGCUGGAAGUUGGUAGAGUUGCCCCUUCCUAUGGAUCAGGCCCCAUUUCUUUGAUGAGACUCGGGCUGAAGAAAUGAUUUCACCCUUGGAACAAUGCCGAUAGUUCCAAGAGGUGUAACCAGGUUGAGCCAGGCUGAGUUAACCAGACUUUUACAAAGUGGAGCCAUGAGCAAAAGCUCUCUUCCUUUCUUGCCAAAGACUGUGAGUCAGAGUUGCUGUGGUCUCGAAGCCUCCUCUGCAGGGAGAAGCUCCUUUGCUUGGCGGUAUCUACAAGUCAUCCUGAACUCAGAGACACAGAAGGUGA